GCCUACGGGACGCAGCAGUGAGGAAUAUUGGUCAAUGGUCGGGAGACUGAACCAGCCAAGCCGCGUGAGGGAUGAAGGUACAGAGUAUCGUAAACCUCUUUUGUCAGGGAACAAAGGCGGGGACGCGUCCCCGGAUGAGUGUACCUGAAGAAAAAGCAUCGGCUAACUCCGUGCCAGCAGCCGCGGUAAUACGUAGGUGGCAAGCGUUGUCCGGAAUUACUGGGUGUAAAGGGAGCGUAGGCGGGAAGCCAAGUCAGCUGUGAAAACUACGGGCUUAACCUGUAGACUG
rnacentral:rRNA from 1 species